rnacentral:rRNA from 1 species
GAUGAACGCUAGCGGCAGGCCUAACACAUGCAAGUCGAGGGAGAAGCCCUUCGGGGCAGAAACCGGCGCACGGGUGCGUAACGCGUAUGCAACCUACCUUCACAGGGGGAUAGCCCGAAGAAAUUUGGAUUAAUACCCCAUAAUAUUAUUGGAUGGCAUCAUUUGAUAAUUAAAAUUACGAUGGUGAAAGAUGGGCAUGCGUCCUAUUAGCUAGUUGGAGUGGUAACGGCACCCCAAGGCUACGAUAGGUAGGGGUCCUGAGAGGGAGAUCCCCCACACUGGUACUGAGACAGGGACCAGACUCCUACGGGAGGCAGCAGUGAGGAAUAUUGGUCAAUGGUCGGAAGACUGAACCAGCCAUGCCGCGUGCAGGAAGAAUGCCUUAUGGGUUGUAAACUGCUUUUAUAUGGGAAGAAUAAGGCGUACGUGUACGUUGAUGACGGUACCAUAUGAAUAAGCAUCGGU